rnacentral:lncRNA from 1 species
GGCUGGAGUGCAAUGACUCGGUCUCGGCUCAUUGCAACCUCCGCCUUGCAGGUUCAAGUGAUUCUCCCACCUCAGCCUCCCAAGUAGGAUUACAGGUACACACCACCACGCACAGCUAAUUGUUUUGUAUUUUAGGAAGAGAUGGGGUUUCAUCAUGUUAGCCAGGCUGGUCAGGUGAUCCAUCCGCCUUGGCCUCCCCAAGUGCUGGGAUUACAGGCGUGAGGCACUGUGCCCGGCCUGCCCCCCUUUUCUCUUGAUGUAAGUGGACAUUUUAAUCCAUAAUCUGUAACAUUUAUGUAUUAAGUUUACUACUAUCUUUGGUUUGCAGUGUUGACUCACCUGUGGAGUGGUCUGAGCCUGAAUGCCCGGGGCUGUGGCCACCGAGUGAACGGGCUGUGCUAAGGGGAAUUGCCACCUUGGGAAACCUGUGUAGUUGCGGCUUUUCUGAUUAAGUAUCAAUAAAAGUCUGACCUUGUGAAAAAAGCAAACGUGAGUGGCCCUGCUUAUGUUUCACCUUGCGUUGCUCAGUGAUAGUUCUGCAAAGUCGCAGGAAACCUGGAAUCAUCUAAUUAUCGUGAGUGUUGGCACAUGACAGCCUUCUUGCAAUCAAGAAACUACGUGUGGCCAGGAUCUCAUCCACUAUCACAGUUUCAGCUUUCCCCAAACUGGAAUGUGUCUUUGCAGACGCCCAUCCUUAUUAAAGGGCAAAGACUUCUCAUACACCUAGGAUGGAUCUUAUAUUCUUGGCGGGACUGCAGAGAAGGUGCCGUGUCCUGAGUCCUCAUGUCAGGGCACAGGCUUCCAGCCAGUUCUACCUGGGUUAUGUUUAUCUCAAUUCCCUGGUGGUAUUGGUGUCUGCUGGGUUUUGCCAGAAUGAAGACACCGUGUUUUCAUUUGUCAGUUGAUUCGUAUUUUCCAGGAAGACAUUCUGAGAUUACAGCAUUGUCUUAGUCAAGGUGCUGCAGAAGGACAGAACUAAUAGGAUAUAUGUACAUAUGAAAGAAAGUUUAUGAAGAACUGGCUCACACCAUCACAAGGCAAAGUCCCAUGACAGGCCAUCUGCAAGCUGAGGAGCGAGGAAGCCAGCAGUGGCUCAGCCGGAGUCCAACAGCCUCAAACGGAAUCCAACAGUUCAGGCUUCAGUCUGUGGCCAAAUGCCCAGAGACCCCGGAAAGCUACUGGUGUUAGUCCCAGAGCCGGAAGGCCAAAGAACCUGGAGUGUGAUGUCCAAGGGCAGGAGGAAUGGACAGAAGCAUCCAGCAUGGGGUAAAGACGAAAGCCAGAAGACUCAGCAAGCUAGCUUACCUACUUUCUUCUGCCUGCCUUGUUCUAGCCGCGCUGGCAGCCGGUUGGAGGGUGCCCACCCCCACUGAGGGUGGAUCUUCCUCUCCUAGUCCACUGACUCAAAUUUCAGUCUCUCUGGGAGCACCAUCACACCAGAAACAAUACCAGCCAUCUAGCCACCCUUCAGUUCACCAUCACAACCAUUGUCUUAUUCAUGAAACUUCUGCAGACCCACCUUAACCUCCAUCGGUGACUUCUACCUGAAGCCCUCUGAUUGUUGCCCAGUGGUGCUUUUUAAAA